AAGCUUAUAGAUCUUAAGACAUUUUCUUCAUAAUCCAAGAAAAUUAGCUCCCACAAUAAAAAGGGUAAUAAUGGAUUAUAAGAAAGGGAUGGAAAAGUCUUUCCUAUGUUGGAAAACUUGAUUAACAACACAGGAUCGCAAGUAAAUCAUUAGACAGUGUCGAACACUCACUACUAAAAAAACAGGUUUUUUUGACCAAAUAAUUUCGACCUCACUUUUUGAUCGAAAAAAAAUCGACCACAUGAGGUCGAAAUUUUCAGAUUUUUUUUUUUUUGGAUUUCGACCUCACUUGGUCGAUAUUUAAAUGGAAAAUAAAAUUUCGACCGCAUGAGGUUGAAACUUAUUUUUGUACAAAUAAUAAAUGAAAAAAACAUUUUAAAAAAUUUAAUUAUAUAAAUAAAAUAAUUAAUUAAAAAAAAGAGCAUAUUUCGACUGCAUGCGGUCGAAAAUUAAGUCAAAUUUGAUCAAAUCUGACUUAAUUAUUUCGACCGCACGCGGUCAAAAAAGUAAAUUUGAAAAAUUUAAUGUACUCCCCCAACAUCAAUCGUGCAAUUCUCACCCCAAAAUAUACCAAAACCUAAUUUUAUCCCAAAACUCCCACCCCCACCACACCCCUCCCCCGCCGCCGACGCCUCAUCCCCACCACUGCUUGUCCUCCGUCGCCGCCCUUUCUGUCCGCCAGAGGGGAGAACCACAGAAGCAAGUUGACUAGUGAUGUAGCUGGGGAGCUUAGUGAUACAUCUGUAAGUUGUGAGGAGACUAGAUCCAAUUCUCAGGCUAUUGCAUUUUCUCCAUUGGAGCAGCAAGUGCUGAAGAAGGUUGUUAUCUUCUCCUUCUACCCAUUAUUAGUUUACCUUCUGUUGAUCCACUAAAAUUUGCCUCAGAAAUGCUAUUACUGAAAACAUGUUGACUCGCAACUCUGGAACUUUGUCCUUGGAAUGGAUGUCUGUCUCUUGGCCUAAAGAAUGCAGCAGAGCUAUGCUACCUCCAAGCAAGUAAAGUCCACAACUUGAACCUUUUGAGUCAAUACUCAUCAAGUGUACUAGCUAUGCGCUUCCUAGAUUUUUGUCAACCUACCAUGACGUUUGUGCCUAUUCUCCAGUUACAAUGUAAGAUUUUGGCUAUUUGAACCUCGAUGUGGCAUGCAUAACAUUGGAGGUUGGUAUGUGGAGACAUUUAGCAGAGAUAAGAAAGGCCGAAAUGUGCCAUCUCAAAGGUAUUGGGAUGGCUUAGAGGCAAAUGAUCACUUUGAGAAUUAAGUACCUGGUGUAGAAACCUCAAACAUAUGAAAUUGAAAUUAUCCACCCAUUUAUGAUAAUCCUAUGCAUUGUGGCACUUUGGCAAAAACAAGUUUAGGUAUUUUAUGAAUUGUGCUGAUAACAUGUUUUGCAUUUCGAUAAAUUGAUCUAACUUUACAAUGCAGGAUGUGUUUGCACCCUGUUUGAAAAGAUCAAUAUGAAAAUAUUGCUAUGUCACAAGAAGACGUAGUUCAUGCUCUUGUUGAUGAGGGUAGUGGGGAGGAAUCGGAUCAUGUCUCUAACACCCAACGCUGACUUUUGGAUUGUAAUAUUGCUAUGUUUUCUUGGAUAUGUAUAUUUUUUUUUAUGAUAGUUUUAAUUUGAAUUAGAUGUACUUUUGAAGGUGA